UACGGAGGGUGCAAGCGUUAAUCGGAAUUACUGGGCGUAAAGCGCACGCAGGUGGCUGAGUCGGUCGAUUGUGAAAGCCCCGGGCUUAACCUGGGAAUUGCAUCUGAUACUGUCUGACUAGAGUAUGCUAGAGGGAAGUGGAAUUCCAGGUGUAGCGGUGAAAUGCGUAGAUAUCUGGAGGAACACCAAUGGCGAAGGCAACUUCCUGGCCUGUUCUUGACGCUGAGGCGCGAAAGCUAGGGGAGCAAACGGG
rnacentral:rRNA from 1 species